AUCUUUUUCCAUCUUCUUCACUAGCCACCAUUUCUCAAAAAGGAGAAGAUCUUGCAAAUAUCAAAGGGAAGCAAAGAGGUUUCAAGAAUAAUUAAAGCCAGUCAAACUUUUGACUGUUGAUUUUUGUGUAAUCAAGAGUUUAGAGAAGAAGUUGCAGGUACAAGUUCUUGAUGUGCAUGGAAAUCAUAAGCAUCCGGAUGGGAGUUUUCAGUGCACGAGUACUUUAUUAUUUAAGCUAUCUUGAAUUUUAUGUUUGACUUUACUUGACCAAUGGGGUCAAGGUUUGACUUUUGAAG